AUCAAUGUAAAUGCAUGUCAUUUGAAGCUAUUUGAUUUCUUUUUCCAAAGUACAUAUAUCAUAUGCCAAGGUUUACAAUAUGGAAAACUCAUGGCAAAUAGUGCAAAACUCUAUUGACUUAGCAUUUUAAUAUAGAAAACUACAUUCUGCCAUAUAUUGCAUAAACUUUUCAAGCAGUUUAGAGUUACAAUUUGACUUCAGUUUCUUCAUAAGAAAUGUACAUUUAUGUCUUAUCUUUCCAACAAGGUAUGGUUCAUGCAAAUCUGAUCAUCCUAGCUUAAGUUAUGAAUUUUUCUUUACAAGCUGCUCAAUAAGGUCUUAAUCAGUCCAGUAUUGGUACUUGUUUAUAGUAUCACAAAACUUAUCAGAUUCAUGUAUUUCCAUACAAAUUCAAGCUUAAGUGUCUUCUAAAAAGUUUUAGGUAUAUUUCGUAAGAUUCAUUUGGCACUGGUUUGAACAAAUUUCACUGAGUAUGUAAUUAGUUAUGGUAUAAUCAAUAGACUCUGUUCCGGAUGCACUCCCACUGUGUCCAGUUUAGAUUCACUUGCAAUUUUCAUCAUUUUAACUACAGAUUCAGAAUUUUGUCAAUUCAUGAAAGUUUUAGAUAUUUGUCUUAGCUUUCAUUUGAUAUAUCUUAGGCCUAAUUUUAAUAUAUACACAAUAAGUUAUGAAGUUAGUAACACAAGCUAUCCUGUUACAACCUAUUCUGCCAGAUUUACACUUUUAGCUCCCAUGUUAAAUUUCUUUACUCUUAAGCCUUUCAAACAUCAUUUUAACAUUCAUAUAACAUAUUUAUACAAUCAAAGCAACAUUUCCAGCAAGUAAAAUCAACCCCUAAUUUCACUUAUUCAUGGCAGAAUCAAAGGAAAACAGGAAAUCAUUAAAACACCAAACCUUUCUUGAAUUCUUCUUUUCUUUUCCUCUUCUAAUCUCUAGCUAUCUCCUUUCCCUUUGAUGUUCCUUCACCUAUGCCAAUUUAUAUCUUAGGGAAGGAUUGAAUAAAUUGUAAAUUAAAACUUUAUAAUUCAAAUUCAUGCAUGAAGAAAUGAGAUGAUGCUAUUUCCUACUCAUUUC
rnacentral:lncRNA from 1 species